AACGAACGUUGGCGGCAUGGAUUAGGCAUGCAAGUCGCGGGAAUCCAGCAAUGGGGAACCGGCGUAAGGGGCAGUAAGGCAUGGGUAUCUACCCCGGGGUUCGGAAUAGCCACCAGAAAUGGUGGGUAAUACCGGAUGACGUCGUGAGACCAAAGGUCCGCCGCCCCGGGAGGAGCCCAUGUGAUAUUAGCUAGUUGGUGGGGUAACGGCCCACCAAGGCGAAGAUGUCUAGCGGGUGUGAGAGCACGACCCGCGCCACUCGCACUGAGACACUGGCGAGACACCUACGGGUGGCUGCAGUCGAGGAUCUUCGGCAAUGGGGGCAACCCUGACCGAGCGAUGCCGCGUGCGCGAUGAAGGCCUUCGGGUUGUAAAGCGCGAAAGUGGGGAGAAAGGCCGAAAGGCGUGAUCUAUCCACAGUAAGCUCGGGCUAAGUUCGUGCCAGCAGCCGCGGUAAGACGAACCGAGCGAACGUUGUUCGGAAUCACUGGGCUUAAAGGGCGCGUAGGCGGGCUGUCAAGUCUGGGGUGAAAUCCCGCGGCUCAACCGCGGAACUGCCUCAGAUACUGACGGCCUCGAGGGAGAUAGGGGCGAGCGGAACUAAUGGUGGAGCGGUGAAAUGCGUUGAUAUCAUUAGGAACUCCGGUGGCGAAGGCGGCUCGCUGGAUCUCUUCUGACGCUGAGGCGCGAAAGCCAGGGGAGCAAACGGGAUUAGAUACCCCGGUAGUCCUGGCCCUAAACGUUGGGUACUAGAUAGUGGACUAGACAUGGGUUCACUGUCGAAGCAAAAGUGCUAAGUACCCCGCCUGGGGAAGUAUGGUCCGCAAGGCUGAAACUCAAAGGAAAUUGACGGGGGGCUCACACAAAGCGGUGGGAGCAUGUGGGCUUAAUUCCAAGGCUACGCGAAGAAACCUUAUCCUGGAACUUGACAUGUUUCGAAAGAAGCAGCCAAGUAGGGACCCCGAAAACCGGGAACCAAA
rnacentral:rRNA from 1 species